UUCUGUUUUGUCCUCUUCAGACUCUGUCAAACUAAAUGUAGGGAGAGUGAAGAAGUGUCUGAAAAUAAAACCUACAAACGGAUACCAUUUUGGACAUAAAGCGGUGUGCAUCUAUGUUAAGCAGAGAUUUUAGUAGGAUGGGGUGCAAAAUUCACAGCAAGAAGGCAGGAAAUAUUAUUGCAGUGUGCUUCAUGUGGGGCUGGCUGUCCUUGAAGACGACUGAGAAACUUUGACUGGCCCAAAACUUUGACUGGCCCAAAAUGCAGCAGCCAGAUUACUGGCCAGGGUUCCAAUUAGAACUCACGUAACUCUUGUUUUAAAACAGUUGCACUGGUUGCCAGUUUGUUCCCAGGCAAAUUCAAGAUCCUCUAGUGAAGAUGAAAUGGUGAGGUAUCAGCACUGUUAAAAUAAUUCAUUAUGAUAAGAUGAUCUCUGGAGAAAUAAUUGUUUUUGGUUUGAAGCCCAGACAGAGUGAUGUGGAACUGGCAUGGCCACUCCCUUCUUUAUUCAAAUAAGAAAAGCAGCUCACCAUACCUGCACAGUGUAAUUGCAACAAAUCUUCAAGUUUCUCUCUAGUUUGACUGUGACGUUCAUCGGCUGCUGCAACUCCUUCUGCAGAAACCAAGAGAAAGUGGAAUUCCAAGGUAAAAAUCACAAAGAGCUUGAAUGAACCCAGGAGAAAAAAUGAGUAGCAGCACAGAAAACAAAAUAAGAAGCAUUUGUCAUCUCAAAUACCCCAGUGAUGCCUCCUGAGCACAGGUGGGUUCAGAGUAAGGAAGAACUUAUCACGAACUUCAGGAUAGUUGUUGGGUCCAGUGUGUUCCUAGAUGGCCAGGUAGCUGCCCUGGCUAGGAGUGCCUUUGAUCAGCUUUUACCAGUGUCCCAGGUGCACCACUUGCUGAGGAAAGCAGAUCUGGACCCAAUUGCUUGUUCCAUAGUUACACCCAGAUUAGAUUACUGCAAUGAGCUCUAUAAGAGG